GGGCCGAUAGCUCAAUUGGUUAGAGCAGAGGACUCAUAAUCCUUUGGUUGCAGGUUCGAGACCUGCUCGGCCCA
rnacentral:tRNA from 1 species